rnacentral:rRNA from 1 species
AUUGAACGCUGGCGGAAUGCUUUACACAUGCAAGUCGAACGGCAGCACGGGGCAACCUGGUGGCGAGUGGCGAACGGGUGAGUAAUACAUCGGAACGUGCCCAAUCGGGGGGGAUAACGUAGCGAAAGUUACGCUAAUACCGCAUACGAUCUACGGAUGAAAGCGGGGGAUCGCAAGACCUCGCGCGAAUGGAGCGGCCGAUGUCAGAUUAGGUAGUUGGUGGGGUAAAGGCUCACCAAGCCGACGAUCUGUAGCUGGUCUGAGAGGACGACCAGCCACACUGGGACUGGGACACGGCCCAGACUCCUACGGGAGGCAGCAGUGGGGAAUUUUGGACAAUGGGCGCAAGCCUGAUCCAGCCAUUCCGCGUGCAGGAUGAAGGCCUUCGGGUUGUAAACUGCUUUUGUACGGAACGAAACGGCUCUCUCUAAUACAGGGGGCUAACGACGGUACCGUAAGAAUAAGCACCGGCUAACUACGUGCCAGCCGCCGCAGUAAGAC